UAGUAUCAGCGUGCCAGCCGCCGCGGUAAUACGUAGGGCGCAAGCGUUGUCCGGAAUUAUUGGGCGUAAAGAGCUCGUAGGCGGCUUGUCACGUCGGGUGUGAAAGCCCGGGGCUUAACCCCGGGUCUGCAUUCGAUACGGGCUAGCUAGAGUGUGGUAGGGGAGAUCGGAAUUCCUGGUGUAGCGGUGAAAUGCGCAGAUAUCAGGAGGAACACCGGUGGCGAAGGCGGAUCUCUGGGCCAUUACUGACGCUGAGGAGCGAAAGCGUGGGGAGCGAACAGGAUUAGAUACCCUGGUAGUCCACGCCGUAAACGGUGGGAACUAGGUGUUGGCGACAUUCCACGUCGUCGGUGCCGCAGCUAACGCAUUAAGUUCCCCG
rnacentral:rRNA from 1 species